rnacentral:rRNA from 1 species
CCUACGUGAGACUGCAGUGAGGAAUAUUGGUCAAUGGCCGGGAGGCUGAACCAGCCAAGUCGCGUGAGGGAAGACGGCCCUACGGGUUGUAAACCUCUUUUGUCAGGGAGCAAGGUGCAGGUCGGGACCUGCUGUGAGAGUACCUGAAGAAAAAGCAUCGGCUAACUCCGUGCCAGCAGCCGCGGUAAUACGGAGGAUGCGAGCGUUAUCCGGAUUUACUGGGUGUAACGGGCGUGCAGCCGGGAAGACAAGUCAGAUGUGAAAUCCCGCGGCUGAACCGCGGCACUGCAUUUGAAACUGUUUUUCUUGAGUGCCGGAGAGGUCAUCGGAAUUCCUUGUGUAGCGGUGAAAUGCGUAGAUAUAAGGAAGAACGCCAGUGG